CCGCAACAGAGCCCCCCACCCACCCACCCUCCCCAACGACGAUGAGCAGCAGCUUAGGGAGGAUGGGGAGCACGACAGCGGUGGCGGAGGGGAGCAGCAGCAGCAGGCCUCGCCGGGGCGCCCCUCGCCUCCUCACCGCCCGCCGGGGGCGCGUGGUUCAGGGCCACCCUUGCCUGCUGCGGCUACGUCCUGCUGGCGCUGCUCGCCCUCGCGCUCCUCCUCCUUCUCCCCGUUGGGUACCUCGGCCAGAAAAGGAGGGCACCAUUCACCAUGGAGGACUGUCGUGUCCAGUCUCCCUCACUUCCUCCCUCCUGCCUCAAUACCAUAGCACCCAUGACCAUGGCGACUCCACUGGAGGUGCAGCAAGCAGGUGCUGUUGUGUGAAGGACAGGAGAAGAGGGUAGAGGAGAGGACUGCUACUAUCUCACCUGCUUCUUCGUCUUCUUCUUCUACUACGUCCUAUGUUGGUCCGACCAGGAGGCGUUGCCAUUAUAGGGUGUCCGACCAACGUCCUCGUGUUCGUGCAUCUUCAGGAAGAAACGACCCGGGGUGAGUCGCCUCUGGUCUGCCGCACGAAGAGAGCGGGGGGCUAGAUCGCAAGGGCAGAGUUGCAGUCCUCCAGGGCCGCGGGAAGAAGAAGAUGGGACUCAUAUACAAGCCUCCCUCUCGUGGUGAACACUCUUCCCUGGAAUUGAUGGAAGAUCUGCCUUGCAGCCUUAGAGGAUCCAUGCAUCGUGUGAUGUGUGGCCUACAGGCUACCAAUGCAACUGAUGUAGUCCUGCACAACACAAAUAAUUUAGUGGUGCUUGGAUCUAGGAGUGAACUGGGUCAGGGUUCUGUACUAUAGGAGGAAACAAGAUGGGGCAUGUGUUUUUCAAGGAUAAAUAUUGGAACUGAUGCCUCGCGUUGAUCUCUCUGAUCUGGUUCGGCUGGCGCGGGAACUGAGCCGCCGUCGAUGGAUUUAUCACAACUUGGCUACCUGUUGCUUUGGAUCUGGUAGGUUUGUUCAUAGGUUUAUGCGGCGCAUGUACUGGCAUAAUACUUGUUGAAGCACCUCCCUGGCUUCCUUGCCUUGCUGCUCUAGCACCAGCCUCGCCACCGCUGAGGAUACCCAGCAUGUGUUUAGGAUCCCACACAGGGCGGUUCUUGACAUGCUUCGAGCACACCUUGGGCUAUUGAUACGUAUCCAACGUAUCUAUAAUUUUUGAUUGCUCCAUGCUAUAUUAUCUACUGUUUUGGGCAAUAUUGGGCUUUAUUAUCCAUUUUUAUAUUAUUUUUGGGACUAACCU